AACGAACGCUGGCGGCAGGCUUAACACAUGCAAGUCGAGCGCCCCGCAAGGGGAGCGGCAGACGGGUGAGUAACGCGUGGGAAUCUACCCAUCUCUACGGAAUAACGCAUGGAAACGUGUGCUAAUACCGCAUACGUCCUUCGGGAGAAAGAUUUAUCGGAGAUGGAUGAGCCCGCGUUGGAUUAGCUAGUUGGUGGGGUAAAGGCCUACCAAGGCGACGAUCCAUAGCUGGUCUGAGAGGAUGAUCAGCCACACUGGGACUGAGACACGGCCCAGACUCCUACGGGAGGCAGCAGUGGGGAAUAUUGGACAAUGGGCGCAAGCCUGAUCCAGCCAUGCCGCGUGAGUGAUGAAGGCCCUAGGGUUGUAAAGCUCUUUCACCGGUGAAGAUAAUGAUGGUAACCGGAGAAGAAGCCCCGGCUAACUUCGUGCCAGCAGCCGCCGUAAAAC
rnacentral:rRNA from 1 species